rnacentral:rRNA from 1 species
CCUACGGGGCGCAGCAGUGAGGAAUAUUUGUCAAUGGACGAGAGUCUGAACCAGCGAAGUAGCGUGAAGGAUGACUGCCCUAUGGGUUGUAAACUUCUUUUAUAUGGGAAUACAAUGUUCCACGUGUGGGAUUUUGUAUGUACCAUAUGAAUAAGGAUCGGCUAACUCCGUGCCAUCAGCCGCGGUAAUACGGAGGAUCCGACCGUUAUCCGGAUUUAUUGGGUUUAAAGGGAGCGGAGGUGGAUUGUUAAGUCAGUUGUGAAAGUUUGCGGCUCAACCGUAAAAUUGCAGUUGAAACUGGCAGUCUUGAGUACAGUAGAGGUGGGCGGAAUUCGUGGUGUAGCGGUGAAAUGCUUAGAUAUCACGAAGAACUCCGAUUGCGAAGGCAGUUCACUGGACUGAAACUGACACUGAGGCACGAAAGUGUGGGGAUCAAACAGGAUUAGAUACCCUGGUAGUC